AUUGAACGCUGGCGGCAUGCCUUACACAUGCAAGUCGAACGGCAGCACGGGGGCAACCCUGGUGGCGAGUGGCGAACGGGUGAGUAAUGCAUCGGAACGUGUCCUCUUGUGGGGGAUAACCAGUCGAAAGAUUGGCUAAUACCGCAUGAGAUCGCAAGAUGAAAGCGGGGGACCGCAAGGCCUCGCGCGAGAGGAGCGGCCGAUGCCGGAUCAGCUAGUUGGUGGGGUAAAAGCCUACCAAGGCGACAAUCCGUAGCUGGUCUGAGAGGACGACCAGCCACACUGGGACUGAGACACGGCCCAGACUCCUACGGGAGGCAGCAGUGGGAAUUUUGGACAAUGGGCGCAAGCCUGAUCCAGCCAUGCCGCGUGUGUGAAGAAGGCCUUCGGGUUGUAAAGCACUUUCGGACGGAACGAAAUCGCGCGGGCGGACAUCCCGCGUGGAUGACGGUACCGUAAGAAGAAGCACCGGCUAACUACGUGCCAGCCGCCGCGGUAA
rnacentral:rRNA from 1 species